GCAGCUUAACACAUGCAAGUUCGAGGGGUAGAGCACUUCGGUGCUUGAGACCGGCGCACGGGUGCGUAACGCGUAUGCAAUCUGCCUUUCACAGAGGGAUAGCCCAGAGAAAUUUGGAUUAAUACCUCAUAGUAUUACGACUCGGCAUCGAGAUGUAAUUAAAGUCACAACGGUGAAAGAUGAGCAUGCGUCCCAUUAGCUAGUUGGUAAGGUAACGGCUUACCAAGGCAACGAUGGGUAGGGGUCCUGAGAGGGAGAUCCCCCACACUGGUACUGAGACACGGACCAGACUCCUACGGGAGGCAGCAGUGAGGAAUAUUGGACAAUGGGCGCAAGCCUGAUCCAGCCAUGCCGCGUGCAGGAUGACGGUCCUAUGGAUUGUAAACUGCUUUUGUACGAGAAGAAACACUCCUUCGUGAAGGAGCUUGACGGUAUCGUAAGAAUAAGGAUCGGCUAACUCCGUGCCAGCAGCCGCGGUAAUACGGAGGAUCCAAGCGUUAUCCGGAAUCAUUGGGUUUAAAGGGUCCGUAGGCGGUUUAGUAAGUCAGUGGUGAAAGCCCAUCGCUCAACGGUGGAACGGCCAUUGAUACUGCUGAACUUGAAUUAUUAGGAAGUAACUAGAAUAUGUAGUGUAGCGGUGAAAUGCUUAGAUAUUACAUGGAAUACCAAUUGCGAAGGCAGGUUACUACUAAUGGAUUGA
rnacentral:rRNA from 1 species